AACGAACGCUGGCGGCAUGCCUAACACAUGCAAGUCGAACGAGACCUUCGGGUCUAGUGGCGCACGGGUGCGUAACGCGUGGGAACCUGCCCUUAGGUUCGGAAUAACUCCCCGAAAGGGGUGCUAAUACCGGAUAAUGUCUUCGGACCAAAGAUUUAUCGCCUUUGGAUGGGCCCGCGUUGGAUUAGCUAGUUGGUAGGGUAAAAGCCUACCAAGGCGACGAUCCAUAGCUGGUCUGAGAGGAUGAUCAGCCACACUGGGACUGAGACACGGCCCAGACUCCUACGGGAGGGAGCAGUGGGGAAUAGUGGAAAAUGGGCGAAAGCAUGAUCCAGCAAUGACGCGUGAGUGAUGAAGGCCUUAGGGUUGUAAAGCUCUUUUACCCGGGAUGAUAAUGACAGUACCGGGAGAAUAAGCUCCGGCUAACUCCGUG
rnacentral:rRNA from 1 species